CUACGGGAGGCAGCAGCAAGGAAUUUUCCCCAAUGGGCGCAAGCCUGAGGGAGCAACGCCGCGUGGGGGAUGACGCAUUUCGGUGUGUAAACCCCUCUUCCGAGGGACGAAACAAAUGACGGUACCUUGGGAAGAAGGCCCGGCUAACUACGUGCCAGCAGCCGCGGUAAUACGUAGGGGCCAAGCGUUGUCCGGAGUUACUGGGCGUAAAGGGUGCGCAGGCGGUUGGUUACGUCGUGUGUGAAAGCCCCCGGCUUAACCGGGGAGGGUCGCGCGAAACGGGCUAACUGGAGGCAAGGCGAGGUCGGUGGAAUUCCCGGUGUAGUGGUGAAAUGCGUAGAGAUCGGGAGGAACACCAGAGGCGAAGGCGGCCGACUGGACUUGACCUGACGCUGAGGCACGAAGGCGUGGGGAGCGAACGGGAUUAGAAACCCUAGUAGUCC
rnacentral:rRNA from 1 species